ensembl:lncRNA
GUGAGGGUGUAGACACAAGGGUGUAGACAUGAGGGUGUAGAUGUGAGGGUAUAGAUGUGAAGGUGUAGACGUGAGGGUGUAGACGCGAGGGUGUAGACGCGAAGGUGUAGACGCGAGGGUGUAGAUGCGAGGGUGUAGAUGUGAGGGUGUAAACGCGAGGGUGUAGAUGCGAGGGUGUAGAUGUGAAGGUGUAAACGUGAGGGUGUAGAUGCGAGGGUGUAGAUGCGAGGGUGUAGAUGCGAGGGUGUAGAUGCGAGGGUGUAGACGUGAAGGUGUAGACGUGAAGGUGUAGGUGGCUGUUACCUGGAAGCUGCUCCGACUCCAUCAGCUCUCUCGGCUCUCUCCUUCUCCCUUCUCCCGGAUCCAAAGUGUC